rnacentral:rRNA from 1 species
UCGGGAAUUUUGGGCAAUGGGCGAAAGCCUGACCAGCAACGCCGCGUGAGGGAUGAAGUAUUUCGGUAUGUAAACCUCGAAAGAAUGGGAAGAAUAAAUGACGGUACCAUUUAUAAGCUCCGGCUAACUACGUGCCAGCAGCCGCGGUAAUACGUAGGGAGCAAGCGUUGUUCGGAUUUACUGAGCGUAAAGGGCGCGUAGGCGGCGCGGUAAGUCACUUGUGAAAUCUCUGAGCUUAACUCAGAACGGCCAAGUGAUACUGCUGUGCUAGAGUGCGGAAGAGGCUACCGGAAUUCUUGGUGUAGCGGUGAAAUGCGUAGAUAUCAAGAGGAACACCUGAGGCGAAGGCAGGUUGCUGGGCCGACACUGACGCUGAUGCGCGAAAGCCAGGGGAGCAAACG